GACGAACGCUGGCGGCGUGCUUAACACAUGCAAGUCGAACGGAAAGGCCCUGCUUGCAGGGUACUCGAGUGGCGAACGGGUGAGUAACACGUGGGUGAUCUGCCCUGCACUUCGGGAUAAGCUUGGGAAACUGGGUCUAAUACCGGAUAGGAGCCAUCUUUAGUGUGGUGGUUGGAAAGUUUUUUCGGUGUAGGAUGAGCUCGCGGCCUAUCAGCUUGUUGGUGGGGUAAUGGCCUACCAAGGCGGCGACGGGUAGCCGGCCGGAGAGGGUGUACGGCCAGAUGGGGAAAGGAAGCAAGCCCCAGGACCGGGGGGGGGGCAGGGGGGGGGAAUAUGGAAAGAUGGGCGAGGGCUAUGUGAAGGGGCGCCGCGGGGGGAAUGAUGCCCGGGGUGUUGAAAACUCUUUCGCCAGGGAAGAAAGGUUUUUGGAGACGGUGCCUAAAGAAGAAAACCCGCCUAACUACGUG
rnacentral:rRNA from 1 species